GGGAGAUUAGCUCAGCUGGUAGAGCAGUGGACUCUUAAUCCAUUUGUCGCGAGUUCGAACCUCGCAUCUCCUACCA
rnacentral:tRNA from 1 species